UACGUAGGUGACCAGCGUUGUCCGGAUUUACUGGGCGUAAAGAGCGCGCAGGCGGUCGUUCAAGUCGAGUGUGAAAGCCCCCGGCUCAACUGGGGAGGGUCGCUCGAUACUGAUCGACUUGAAGGCAGGAGAGGGAAGCGGAAUUCCCGGUGUAGUGGUGAAAUGCGUAGAUAUCGGGAGGAACACCAGUGGCGAAGGCGGCUUCCUGGCCUGUUCUUGACGCUGAGGCGCGAAAGCUAGGGGAGCGAACGGG
rnacentral:rRNA from 1 species